GCACAAGCGGUGGAUCAUGUUGUUUAAUUCGAUGAUACGCGAAGAACCUUACCAGGUCUUGACAUCCCCCGCGAUGCUUUAGAGAUAAAGCGGAGGUAUUCGGGAGACAGGUGGUGCAUGGUUGUCGUCAGCUCGUGUCGUGAGAUGUUGGGUUAAGUCCCGUAACGAGCGCAACCCUUGUCCUUAGUUACCAGCACGUUAUGGUGGGCACUCUAAGGAGACUGCCGGUGACAAACCGGAGGAAGGUGGGGAUGACGUCAAGUCAUCAUGGCCCUUACGGCUUGGGCUACACACGUGCUACAAUGGUCGGUACAAAGGGUUGCCAAGCCGCGAGGUGGAGCUAAUCCCGUAAAACCGAUCGUAGUCCGGAUCGCAGUCUGCAACUCGACUGCGUGAAGUCGGAAUCGCUAGUAAUCGUGAAUCAGAAUGCCACGGUGAAUACGUUCCCGGGCCUU
rnacentral:rRNA from 1 species